rnacentral:sRNA from 1 species
GAUAUAUUGUAUUUUUUAUUUUGUUAUUACCUCUCUUUGUUUAGUCCUCUUGUAUGAUUGUUCGCCGAAAGCCGUUAAAUGUAAUAGUGUCCAGUACACACAUUUACAGAAAAUGUCCUUGAAAUCAUGUACUAAAUUCACGAACAUUAAUACAUUUCCAGUUGAGUUUUUUUUUUUCUCCUCAAUCAAGAAUGUCUUUCCCAUGUCUACUACUCUUCUUGAUGACAGCAAGUUUCGCAAUGGGAGAGUCCAUUUUACCUGUGCAAAGUAAGCCAGAUACAUCAGAAGAAAUAGAGGCAUUUCUUCGAAGCCU